CCAGCUCCAAUAGCGUAUAUUUAAGUUGUUGCAGUUAAAAAGCUCGUAGUUGGAUUUCGGGCGGCAGCGCUCGGUGGACCUUGCCGUGCUUAAUUGCGCGGUGGACCCAUACUGACGCUGCUCCUUACCAGCCUCGGCCGCCGUCUGGGCUUCGCUGCUCGGGCGCGCGCCGCGGCGACGUUACCUUGAAUAAAUUAUGGUGUUCAAAGCAGGCGGCACGCUGUGAGUACAUUAGCAUGGAAUAACGGCACAGGACUCCGGUCCCGUUCUCGUUGGUCUCCGAACCGGAGUAAUGAUUAACAGGGACAGUCGGGGGCAUUCGUACUCCGGUGUUAGAGGUGAAAUUCUUGGAUCACCGGAAGACGAACUUCUGCGAAAGCAUUUGCCAAGGAUGUUUUCA
rnacentral:rRNA from 1 species